GGAAGUAAAUGUCGUAACAAGGUUUCCGUAGGUGAACCUGCGGAAGGAUCAUUAUUGUAUAACCGAGGUGCGAGGGCUGUCGCUGACCCGAAAGGUCGUGCACGCCCGAGUGCCCUCACACACAUCCAUCUCACCCCUAUGUGCACCACCGCGUGGGUCCCCCUUUGGCUUGUACGGAGGGGGGCUUACGUUUUCACACAAACUUUGUAUGCAGUGUAGAAUGUAUUUUUUGUUUUUGCGAUCACGCAAUCAAUACAACUUUCAACAACGGAUCUCUUGGCUCUC
rnacentral:misc_RNA from 1 species